rnacentral:rRNA from 1 species
AGAGUUUGAUCAUGGCUCAGAUUGAACGCUGGCGGCAUGCCUAACACAUGCAAGUCGAACGGCAGCGCGGGCUUCGGCCUGGCGGCGAGUGGCGGACGGGUGAGGAAUACAUAGGAAUCUGCCCAGUCGUGGGGGAUAACCCGGGGAAACCCGGACUAAUACCGCAUACGACGGUGACGUGAAAGCCGGGGACCUUCGGGCCUGGCGCGAUUGGAUGAGCCUAUGUCGGAUUAGCUAGUUGGCGGGGUAAAGGCCCACCAAGGCGACGAUCCGUAGCUGGUCUGAGAGGAUGAUCAGCCACACUGGGACUGAGACACGGCCCAGACUCCUACGGGAGGCAGCAGUGGGGAAUAUUGGACAAUGGGCGCAAGCCUGAUCCAGCAAUGCCGCGUGGGUGAAGAAGGCCUUCGGGUUGUAAAGCCCUUUUGUACGGGAAGAAAUCAUCCGGGUUAAUACCCUGGGUGGAUGACGGUACCGUAAGAAUAAGCACCGGCUAACUUCGUGCCAGCAGCCGCGGUAAUACGAAGGGUGCAAGCGUUAAUCGGAAUUACUGGGCGUAAAGCGUGCGUAGGUGGUUGUUCAAGUCUGUCGUGAAAGCCCUGGGCUCAACCUGGGAAUGGCGAUGGAAACUGGGCGACUGGAGUGCGGUAGAGGAUGGCGGAAUUCCCGGUGUAGCGGUGAAAUGCGUAGAGAUCGGGAGGAACAUCCGUGGCGAAAGCGGCCAUCUGGACCAGCACUGACACUGAGGCACGAAAGCGUGGGGAGCAAACAGGAUUAGAUACCCUGUAGUCCACGCCCUAAACGAUGCGAACUGGAUGUUGGUCUCAACUUGGAGAUCAGUGUCGAAGCUAACGCGUUAAGUUCGCCGCCUGGGGAGUACGGUCGCAGA